rnacentral:rRNA from 1 species
GACGAACGCUGGCGGCGUGCUUAACACAUGCAAGUCGAACGGUGAGGCGCUUUCCUUUUUGGUGGCUGUGGAUGCGAGGGGAACGGGAGCGCAACACGUGCGUACCCUGCACCCUUCUACUGGUUCACCGCACGAAAGCGUGGCUCAUACGGGAUCUUCUGGGUCUGUCGCAUGAUUGGUCUGGGUAGGCUGUUGCGGCGGUGGGGGAUGGACUGGCGGCCUGUCAGCGGGUUGGUGGGGAAGUGGCCUACCACGGCGGUGCCGGGUAGGCGGCCUGAGAGGGUGAACGGCAACAUUGGGACUGAGAUACGGCCCAGACUCCUAGGGGAGGCAGCAGUGGGGAAUAUUGCACAAUGGGCGGAAGCCUGAUGCAGCAACGCCGCGUGAGGGAUGAGGGCCUUCGGGUUGUAAACCGCUUUCGCCUGUGACGAAGCGUGAGUGACGGUAAUGGGUAAAGAAGCAACGGCUAAAUACGUG